rnacentral:rRNA from 1 species
CCAAGGAGUUCAGCGUGUACGCGAGUCAUUGGGUGAUUCAAACCUAAAGGCGAAAUGAAAGUGAAGGGAACUUCUCGUUUCUGAGGGAGGAUGAGUCGGUUACCCGCAAGGGGCCCCUCCGCACUCCCGGGGCGUCUCUUUCUCAUUGCGAGUGGAGGCGCACCCAGAGCGUACACGCUGAUACCCGAAAGAUGGUGAACUAUGCCUGGCCAGGACGAAGCCAGGGGAAACCCUGGUGGAGGUCCGCAGCGAUUCUGACGUGCAAAUCGAUCGUCGGAGCUGGGUAUAGGGGCGAAAGACCAAUCG